rnacentral:tRNA from 1 species
GCACUCGUAGCUCAAUUGGAUAGAGCAACGGUCUACGGAACCGUAGGUUAGAGGUUCGAGCCCUCUCGAGUGCA